AUUGAACGCUGGCGGCAUGCUUUACACAUGCAAGUCGAACGAGUGGCGAACGGGUGAGUAAUAUAUCGGAACGUACCGAGUAAUGGGGGAUAACCAAUCGAAAGAUUGGCUAAUACCGCAUAUUAUUCGAGCGGCCGAUAACUGUUGAGCUAGUUGGUGGGGUAAAGGCCUACCAAGGCGACGAGCAGUAGCGGGGCGGAGAGGACGAUCCGCCAAACUGGAACUGAGACACGGCCCAGACUCCUACGGGAGGCAGCAGUGGGGAAUUUUGGACAAGGGGGGCAACCCUGAUGCAGCCAUGCCGCGUGGAUGAAGAAGGCCUUCGGGUUGUAAAGUACUUUUAUUAGGGAGGCGGUACCUAAAGAAUAAGCACCGGCUAACUACGUGCCAGCAGCCGCGGUAAUAC
rnacentral:rRNA from 1 species